rnacentral:lncRNA from 1 species
ACCACCCAUCAAUCUUUCUCAAUCUAAAAGGUUGGCCAAUGAGAGAGAUGGCUCAGCGGAGGAGGACCGUGGGCAACCAAAUCCAAACAAAUAUGCAGAUGGAACGCUUACAUGAUAGACUAGCUAAAAACAAUCGGAAGUGGGUCAGUGGGUGCAAGAUUGUAAUGCAUAAAGCAUGCACAUUCGCAAAGGCUCCCAAGUUUAGAACACUGUGGUGCGCAGAGAAUAACUAGCUAGCAGAAAUACAACAAAUCGAGAACAUGGGAGGAUAUACAGUAUCAUAUACUGGAAGACCUUUCUGUGCCAGUAUUAUCAUCAUAUCUCAAAGUUUCAAAGAUGACAUUAUGGGAGUGGAUUGACAAAACUAUACUGGCCAGUUGAAAUGAUGGUUCCAAAUUCUAACAGAAAUUUAGGAUAGAUUUCAGUUUAGGGAGCGACUCAAUUAUCUCUGCAAACAGCAUACCUCCCAAAUUUACUAAACUGCAUAUCUCGAUAUAAACUAGCUCCAAGAAAUUGAGAAUCUCAGAUUACUGAAUUUGACGAACGAUUGCCCAUGUUGCGGGUCAGGUAAAUUUUUUGGAGAAGCAUUUAAACAGCAAAGGGUGAAUAAUUUUGCUUACAAACCAAGUACGCACCGGGGAUUAGGGCAAGGCAGAGAGGGCACGGCGCGACCAGAAAUUCGCAGGAGACGGUGCAGCUUGCAGCGGCGGCCAAACGCAACUGACACGCUGGGAUGGGAGAAUAUCGCGCGACGAUGAAAACCGCCAAGAGCCCGCGAUCGUCUACCGGCAGCCUUGCUCCGGCACGGCGGCGCCGACGCGAGGCAGCGGAGAGACCGGUGAGUUUUCUUUUUUG